rnacentral:rRNA from 1 species
CCCUUAGAUGUCCUGGGCUGCACGCGCGCUACACUGACACAUUCAGCGAGUAUUCCUGGCUCGAGAGAGUUGGGUAAUCUGUUGAAAGUGUGUCGUGAUGGGGAUAGAUUAUUGCAAUUAUUAAUCUUCAACGAGGAAUGCCUAGUAAGCGCAGGUCAUUAGCCUGCGCUGAUUACGUCCCUGCCCUUUGUACACACCGCCCGUCGCUACUACCGAUUUCGAGUGGUCCGGUGAAGCUUUUGGACUGCGCGUGGCUUCGUGCCGUGUCGCGGAAAGUCAGCUAAACCUUAUCACUUAGAGGAAGUAAAAGUCGUAACA